CCCGCUUGCAUUGUCUCCUCGCAGCGCCACACGCCAAAAGCGCGGCUCCGGCCCCACCUGACAGCACUCCCCGCGAACCACCCGUCAGAACCAAACGGUCAAAAAGGGCUUGACCGUUAGCAGGUGCUCUAUGAGGGCAUUUGCGAGGAAUUGCGAAACGAACAAGUGUAGCAACAAGCACUGUUUCUGGCCUCGGGUAUUCCUGAGUACAUAUAAGGAAGGAGGGGCACAGAAAUAAAAAAAAUCCUAAAAAAACAUCAUAUAACAAUAAAGACGUAAAAGAUAGCGCCACCAAAUUAACAAUUUGGUCAAUCUGGACCUUCUUAUAUGACAAGGCAUGGCAAAAAAAGGGGCAAUGGACUAGAGGAGUCACUUGCACUUCGAGACGGUGUUUUGGAGUCAACCAGGUCCACGCGGGAGCAAUUAACAGCAAGUUCCACACCACACAUGCAGAAAGAUAAUUUGGCAAAAAAGGCCCCCCCCCCCCCCGGCGUUUCUCUCCAGGAAACAAUUAACAGCAAGGUGCACACCACAAAGUCAUCAUUGAUCUAAAUACAAACCAAACUUCAUAACAUAACUUUGCAAAUUCGAUGAACCCUCUUGUGAUCAAAGCGGCUAAGGCAUACCCAGUUGCACAAAUUGCAACUACCAUCGCGAUGCAUAAUUCUUUCCUAUCCCUACCCCUCUACCCUAUGCCUCCUCUCAAUCAUCUUCUUCUCUCGCUUCAUCUUCUUGAUCUCCAUUCGCAAUUCUUUAACUGUCUGCAUAAGAUGCAGUCUCCUUCCAAAGCACUUACCAUGCUCAUGUAGAGCCUAACAUUGUUCUCCACAAUCGACAAUAUCUUCACUUCUCCAUUCUGCUCCUUAACAUUGUUCUGAAACAAGGAUUUUGCAAACAAAAACCUCAUCAAACAAUUGAAAACAACCAUUGAAGAAAGGACAUGAACAGGGG
rnacentral:lncRNA from 1 species